rnacentral:rRNA from 1 species
CGUAGGUGGCGAGCGUUGUCCGGAAUUACUGGGUGUAAAGGGCGUGUAGGCGGGAAUGUAAGUCAGAUGUGAAAUUCCAGGGCUCAACCCUGGCGCUGCAUCUGAAACUAUGUUUCUUGAGUGCUGGAGAGGAAAGCGGAAUUCCUAGUGUAGCGGUGAAAUGCGUAGAUAUUAGGAGGAACACCAGUGGCGAAGGCGGCUUUCUGGACAGUAACUGACGCUGAGGCGCGGAAGCGUGGGGAGCAAACAGGAUUAGAUACCCUGGUAGUCCACGCUGUAAACGAUGGAUACUAGGUGUAGGAGGUAUCGACCCCUUCUGUGCCGCAGUUAACACAAUAAGUAUCCCACCUGGGGAGUACGGCCGCAAGGUUG